rnacentral:rRNA from 1 species
UGAGUAACCUGCCCUUAACUCUGGGAUAAGCCUGGGAAACUGGGUCUAAUACCGGAUAUGACUCCUCAUCGCAUGGUGGGGGGUGGAAAGCUUUAUUGUGGUUUUGGAUGGACUCGCGGCCUAUCAGCUUGUUGGUGAGGUAACGGCUCACCAAGGCGACAAUCCGUAGCUGGUCUGAGAGGACGAUCAGCCACACUGGGACUGAGACACGGCCCAGACUCCGUACGGGAGCAG